rnacentral:rRNA from 1 species
AACCAGCACCUCAAGUGGUCAGGAUGAUUAUUGGGCCUAAAGCAUCCGUAGCCUGUUCUGUAAGUUUUCGGUUAAAUCUAUGCGCUCAACGUAUAGGCUGCCGAAAAUACUGCAGAACUAGGGAGUGGGAGAGGUAGACGGUACUCGGUAGGAAGGGGUAAAAUCCUUUGAUCUAUUGAUGACCACCAGUGGCGAAGGCGAGACUCUGGACACUA